rnacentral:rRNA from 1 species
GCGAAUGGAUUAAGAGCUUGCUCUUAUGAAGUUAGCGGCGGACGGGUGAGUAACACGUGGGUAACCUGCCCAUAAGACUGGGAUAACUCCGGGAAACCGGGGCUAAUACCGGAUAACAUUUUGAACUGCAUGGUUCGAAAUUGAAAGGCGGCUUCGGCUGUCACUUAUGGAUGGACCCGCGUCGCAUUAGCUAGUUGGUGAGGUAACGGCUCACCAAGGCAACGAUGCGUAGCCGACCUGAGAGGGUGAUCGGCCACACUGGGACUGAGACACGGCCCAGACUCCUACGGGAGGCAGCAGUAGGGAAUCUUCCGCAAUGGACGAAAGUCU